UUUAGUGGCGGACGGGUGAGUAACACGUGAGCAACCUGCCUUUGAGAGGGGAAUAACGGCUGGAAACGGUCGCUAAUACCGCAUAAUGUACGGAUGGGACAUCCUGUCUGUACCAAAGAUUUAUCGCUCGAAGAUGGGCUCGCGUCCGAUUAGGUAGUUGGUGAGGUAACGGCCCACCAAGCCGACGAUCGGUAGCCGGACUGAGAGGUUGAACGGCCACAUUGGGACUGAGACACGGCCCAGACUCCUACGGAAGGCAGCAG
rnacentral:rRNA from 1 species